rnacentral:rRNA from 1 species
CCUACGGGAGGCAGCAGUGAGGAAUAUUGGUCAAUGGACGAGAGUCUGAACCAGCCAAGUAGCGUGAAGGAUGACUGUCCUAUGGGUUGUAAACCUCUUUUAUAUGGGAAUAAAACAGGGUAUGCAUACCCUCUUGUAUGUACCAUAUGAAUAAGGAUCGGCUAACUCCGUGCCAGCAGCCGCGGUAAUACGGAGGAUUCGAGCGUUAUCCGGAUUUAUUGGGUUUAAAGGGAUCGUAGGUGGAUUGUUAAGUCAGGUGUGAAAGUUUGCGGCUCAACCGUAAAAUUGCAGUUGAAACUGGCAGUCUUGAGUGCAGUAGAGGUGGGCGGAAUGCGUGGUGUAGCGGUGAAAUGCUUAGAUAGCACGAAGAACUCCGAUUGCGAAGGCAGCUCACUGGAGUGCAACUGACACUGAUGCUCGAAAGUGUGGGUAUCGAACAGGAUUAGAUACCCUAGUAGUC